rnacentral:rRNA from 1 species
UGAACGCUGGUGGCGUGCCUAAUACAUGCAAGUCGAGCGACCGGACGAGAAGCUUGCUUCUCUGAUGUUAGCGGCGGACGGGUGAGUAACACGUGGAUAACCUACCUAUAAGACUGGGAUAACUUCGGGAAACCGGAGCUAAUACCGGAUGAUAUUUUGAACCGCAUGGUUCAAAAGUGAAAGACGGUCUUGCUGUCACUUAUAGAUGGAUCCGCGCUGCAUUAGCUAGUUGGUAAGGUAACGGCUUACCAAGGCAACGAUGCAUAGCCGACCUGAGAGGGUGAUCGGCCACACUGGAACUGAGACACGGUCCAGACUCCUACGGGAGGCAGCAGUAGGGAAUCUUCCGCAAUGGGCGAAAGCCUGACGGAGCAACGCCGCGUGAGUGAUGAAGGUCUUCGGAUCGUAAAACUCUGUUAUUAGGGAAGAACAUAUGUGUAAGUAACUGUGCACAUCUUGACGGUACCUAAUCAGAAAGCCACGGCUAACUACGUG